CGUACAUGUUCUGUGGUGUUCAGUGUCUCUCGCUUGCACUCUCUCGCUCUCUCUGCAAUAAAAGACGUAGACAUGGCUUCCAUUGUUGCAAGUUUGCCUCCUCCAGCACUGGUGGUCCCUGGUAGAAGCAUCCUUUUCAGGAAUCCUCUAAAACUUCUAGUUUCUCCCAUUAGAGAGAGACAGAAUUGUGUGGCUGUUGUUGUGAAGGCUGCUGGAGAAAGCUCCGAGUCAUCAACCUCUCUUAGCAUUGUUAAGUCCGUACAGAAUAUUUGGGAUAAAUCCGAAGAUCGGCUGGCCAUUGUUGGCUUGGGGUUUGCAGCUAUAGUAGCUCUAUG
rnacentral:misc_RNA from 1 species